UAUCAAAGUUAGAGGAAGCUCUUUACAACAUUCAGUUUGAGCAGCAUUGGCUCGAGGCUCAGACCGAACGCCAGGCAAUAGUAAACGAAGCAAUGAGCCGGAGGGCAAUCCACAAGGCCUUCUUUGAAUCAGCAGCACUUGUUGGUGCCAGCGCUCUCCAAGUUUACCUUCUUCGCCGCCUCUUUGAACGAAAGCUUGGGGUGACCAGAGUCUGAACUUGUCUCAGCCAGAGAUAUUACCAAUAGAAGAGCUUUACACUUAACUGUUAUUCCCCCAAGCUUCUGUUUUUUUAAUUUCUAUUUUAUCCCGCAGGAAUAAAUCAUGUAUAGAAAACCAUCACUUUGGAAGCUCUAAGCCAUCUCAUUGUUUCUUGUGGAAUCCCUUCGAGUCUCAAAA